GGCCGGUUGGCCCAAUGGCAAGGCGUCUGACUACGAUUGAAAUACAUCGCUGCAAUCAGGAGAUUCUGGGUUCGACCCCCAGGCUGGUCA